rnacentral:rRNA from 1 species
AUUGAACGCUGGCGGCAGGCCUAACACAUGCAAGUCGAACGAGUGGCGGACGGGUGAGUAAUGUCUGGGAAACUGCCCGAUGGAGGGGGAUAACUACUGGAAACGGUAGCUAAUACCGCAUACCAUCGGAUGUGCCCAGAUGGGAUUAGCUUGUAGGUGAGGUAAUGGCUCACCUAGGCGACGAGCCCUAGCUGGUCUGAGAGGAUGACCAGCCACACUGGAAAUGAGACACGGUCAAGACGCCUCCGGGGGGCAGCAGUGGAGAAUAUGGCACAAGGGGCGAAAGCCUGAUGCAGCCAGGACGCGUGUAUGAAGAAUGCCUUCUGGUUGUAAAGUACUUUCAGCGGGGAGGGGGUACCCGAAGAAGAAGCACCGGCUUACUCCGUGCCAGCAGCCGCGGUAAGAC